rnacentral:misc_RNA from 1 species
UAAAAAAUGUUAAGUAGAUUUCUCAUAACAUGAACUGAAUGUGGAUAAGUUGUCAAUCCAAUCAUGUGAACUCCUUGUUACAGGAAGCAGCAGCCACUGAAGUCGACGAUUUUUUCAAAGAAAAGUCAAUUUAUAUUAUAAAUUUCAGAUGAAGAGAUAAGAUCCACUUUCACAUCUUUGGAUUUUGUCGCUGGCCUACCUCGGUUGAUAUUUUCCAAAAUGGCAAAAUCCAAGGCAAGGACGCCUGGAGUAUCCCCACAUGCAGUGGUGAUUUGAUCCACUUUCAUAUCGUCGGUGGUGUAAUCUUUUGACAAUUUUAUGCUAUUGAUCUGCAUGUUAAUAAAUUUUCGGUUCUCAUAUUUUCCAUUUCUUUAUCUUCUUAAUAAGCUUUUAUAUCUAAAACGUUUUUCAGGUUUGAGUAUAAGAGUAGGUUGGACAGAACUGGUUAUGUCCUGGAAGUUUUUUUUAUUUGGCGCAUAAACUCGGGAUCGGGCAUAAAUUUGGCGCAGUAGUUAGUAAUACAAGAAAGAUGUGCAUAGUAGCUUUACUACAAGAAUAUGGAGUAUCGGUAGCGUUCAAAAAACGCUAUUUAAUUAUACUAUAACGUUAUUAGAAACGCUCUAUCAUCGUCCGUCAUAAAAGGUCAGAGAUAUAUUGUAGCGCUUUUUUGUUAUGCUAUCAUUAUUUCAUUUAUUACAGCGCUUUAACUGCUGCAAUAUUUAAUUAUUUAAUAGCGAUUAGUUUUUGAUAUAAAUAACUAUUAUACAUAGCAUAUUUAUUUGUUACAUAUAAUUAGACAAUAGCAUUUAGUUAAUUGCAAUAUCUAUAAAUAAUGACAUUUUUAAUUAUGCAAUAUUUCUCCAUUUAAUUCCAGGUCAUAAAUUAUUUUUUAAUCAAAUAAAUAUUUAUUCAAAUAUUAUAUCAUAAAUUCAAAAUUCGAAAGGAAAUUCAUAUUAGAUCAAAUUCAAGAUCCGAAAUUACAUUUCAAUGUCAAAGCCAAACAUGAUUUUAUCGGUACUUAACAAAAAAAACCACAUAAUGUUUACACAAACAUGAUUUUAUCAGUAAGCCAAGCCACAAUACUACCUACUACAUCGACAAUGGUUUGAAUUUUAGAGUUUGGUCUCCACACAGCAGCAUCUCCAAUCUUUGAAACUUCUACACAUACCUUGCUCGCAUUUGGACUUAGGGGCAUAUGAUGGACUGUAUCUGAAGGGUUAGAGAUUUGAUGGUGCUAGCAGUACUGUUACUUAAGCUCUACAAGAAUCAAAAAUAAUACCAAGCAUUCAGGCGAUGGUCUUUUCUAGGCUGUAAGUUAAAGUGCAGAAAUUUACCAGUGGAGGUGAUGGUCUUUUAUCUGGUGAUGUUGUUUCAUACAGUGGAGGAGAUGAAUUCACAUAUUGUAUACUAUGAAGUGGCCAUGCAAUGUUCUCAUUUAGUACAUCUCCCAUAACAAACUUUCCUAGACUUGGUCUCCACAAAUAUGCGGCUUUGUUAAACACCUUUUCAACCUUAACAAUUGCAGCAGAAGGACCAAGAGGCAUAUUGUUCACAAGUUCUUUUCAGUCUGUUGAACACAAUCGACCCUCACCAACCACAGAAUCAGCCAUAUUCCAAUCAAUUAUGAUGAUUUUAACGGUUGAUGAAUCUUUAGCCUAAAGCAUGAUGCAUAAAUA